UACUCUGGGCGUAAGCGCAUGCAGGCGGUCUGUUAAGCAAGAUGUGAAAGCCCGGGGCUCAACCUCGGAACCGCAUUUUGAACUGGCAGACUAGAGUCUUGUAGAGGGGGGUAGAAUUUCAGGUGUAGCGGUGAAAUGCGUAGAGAUCUGAAGGAAUACCGGUGGCGAAGGCGGCCCCCUGGACAAAGACUGACGCUCAGAUGCGAAAGCGUGGGGRGSAAACAGGAUUAGAUACCCUGGUAGUCCACGCCGUAAACGAUGUCUACUUGAAGGUUGUGGCCUUGAGCCGUGGCUUUCGGAGCUAACGCGUUAAGUAGACCGCCUGGGGAGUACGGUCGCAAGAUUAAAACUCAAAUGAAUUGACGGGGGCCCGCACAAGCGGUGGAGCAUGUGGUUUAAUUCGAUGCAACGCGAAGAACCUUACCUACUCUUGACAUCCAGAGAAUUCGCUAGAGAUAGCUUAGUGCCUUCGGGAACUCUGAGACAGGUGCUGCAUGGCUGUCGUCAGCUCGUGUUGUGAAAUGUUGGGUUAAGUCCCGCAACGAGCGCAACCCUUAUCCUUGUUUGCCAGCACRUAAUGGUGGGAACUCCAGGGAGACUGCCGGUGAUAAACCGGAGGAAGGUGGGGACGACGUCAAGUCAUCAUGGCCCUUACGAGUAGGGCUACACACGUGCUACAAUGGCGUAUACAGAGGGCUGCCAACCAGCGAUGGUGAGCGAAUCCCACAAAGUACGUCGUAGUCCGGAUCGGAGUCUGCAACUCGACUCCGUGAAGUCGGAAUCGCUAGUAAUCGUGAAUCAGAAUGUCACGGUGAAUACGUUCCCGGGCCUUGUACACACCGCCCGUCACACCAUGGGAGUGGGCUGCACCAGAAGUAGAUAGCUUAACCUUCGGGAGGGCGUUUACCACGGUGUGGUUCAUGACUGGGUGAKYRCAAAGCAGCUGGAGAAAGGU
rnacentral:rRNA from 1 species